GUAGGAGGCGAGCGUUAUCCGGAAUUACUGGGCGUAAAGAGAGCGUAGGUGGUCUUUCAAGUCCUGGGUGAAGUCUCCCGGCUCAACCGGGAGGGGACCCGGGAUACUGGGAGGCUUGAGGGCAGCAGAGGGAGGUGGAAUUCCCGGUGUAGUGGUGAAAUGCGUAGAUAUCGGGAGGAACACCAGUGGCGAAGGCGGCCUCCUGGGCUGUACCUGACGCUGAGGCUCGUAAGCGUGGGGAGCGAACCGGAUUAGAUACCCGGGGUAGUCCACGCCCUAAACGAUGGACACUAGCUAUGGGGGGUAUCGACCCCCCUCCGUGGCGAAGCUAACGCCUUAAGUGUCCCGCCUGGGGAGUACGGCCGCAAGGCUA
rnacentral:rRNA from 1 species